CAGAAGCGUUGCAUUGCACAGGCAGAUGAGGAUUUCUGUUGAGGAUGGGAGGAGUGACUGAUGGAGUUUUACAGAAGGGGCGUUUCUGCAGGUUUCCAAAGAAUGAGAAACAGCCAUCCUUGGACAAAUCUCUGGGAGAAGCAGCGUUUGGGAAAUCCCCAGGGCUGGUAACUGAAGUGAUGGAUGUGAUCGGAGUCUUGGUGGGAAAAUCAACAGCACUGUACUGCUGGAGAACUCAGCUGAACUGUAAUGAAGAACUGUCCCUUCUAGAGCCUGCACGGCGAUGAACGGACGCAUCAGCUGUUUGAAGAGUUUGCCUUCUGCAAAGAGAUCUGCAAAUUCACACUGUUGGGGCUGGGUAUGGCUCUGGUAAUGGGAGCUGUGAGAGCAAGCUGUGUUUCCCUGGGAGAUGGACACCUGUCAUUUUCACAGGGCAGAAGUAUGCAGGCUUACGGCACGGAAUACAACAUUAAAAAACCUGUUCUCUGUG